rnacentral:rRNA from 1 species
AGAACGAACGCUGGCGGCAGGCCUAACACAUGCAAGUCGAACGCUCCGCAAGGAGAGUGGCAGACGGGUGAGUAACGCGUGGGAAUUUCCCCCAAGGUUCGGAAUAACUGAGGGAAACUUCAGCUAAUACCGAAUGGUACCGAGAGGUUAAAGAUUUAUCGCCUUGGGAUGAGCCCGCGUUGGAUUAGCUAGUUGGUGAGGUAACGGCUCACCAAGGCUUUGAUCCAUAGCUGGUCUGAGAGGACGACCAGCCACACUGGGACUGAGACACGGCCCAGACUCCGUACGGGAGGCAGCAGUGGGGAAU